UGCUCGCGCAUCGAACUACUUACCACCUAUCCUUCUCAGCUGCUUCACGGGCGAUAAUACGCUCGAUGAUCAGAUAUGGGGUCUGUGUUGCGUACCUAACUAGAAGGUAUUGUCGAGUUUGGUUUCCACCCAUGUCCGCGGCAUUUCCUUUCGGGAGAUGUCGUGGUCACGAAAAUCGGCGCAUGUUUCCCUUUCGACGUUGCAUCAUUUGCCUCGUUCGUACUGGAGAACAAGCUGCUGGUUGAAAUCUCGGAUUCGGAAAAGUUAUCGACGGUGACUCGAAGUGAUUCAGUCCCGCCAUAGCACAUCUGUCCCUCGGACAAAAGAUGAUGGUCGAGACCUCGUCCGUUCUUUCUUUCCUUAGCGUUAGUUUGAACGUGCCGGGGAAUCGCCGUGAUCGAUGAAUGCUACCUGGUUGAU
rnacentral:misc_RNA from 2 species